rnacentral:rRNA from 1 species
GGACGCAAGUCUGAACCAGCCAUGCCGCGUGGAGGAUGAAGGCCCUCUGGGUUGUAAACUUCUUUUCUUUGGGACGAAACCCCUGUUUCUACGGGGACUGACGGUACCAGAGGAAUAAGCACCGGCUAACUCCGUGCCAGCAGCCGCGGUAAU